rfam:Bacillus galactosidilyticus strain PL133 scaffold000136, whole genome shotgun sequence.
UUCUUAUCAAGAGAGGUCGAGGGAAUGGCCCUAAGACGCCUCAGCAACCACCAUUUUAUGGAAAGGUGCUAAAUCCAGCAAGUUGGAGACAACUUGAAAGAUAAGAA